AUUGAACGCUGGCGGCAUGCCUUACACAUGCAAGUCGAACGGCAGCACGGGUGCUUGCACCUGGUGGCGAGUGGCGAACGGGUGAGUAAUACAUCGGAACAUGUCCUGUAGUGGGGGAUAGCCCGGCGAAAGCCGGAUUAAUACCGCAUACGAUCUACGGAUGAAAGCGGGGGACCUUCGGGCCUCGCGCUAUAGGGUUGGCAGAUAGCUGCUUAGCUAGUUGGUGGGGUAAAGGCCUACCAAGGCGACGAUCAGUAGCUGGUCUGAGAGGACGACCAGCCACACUGGGACUGAGACACGGCCCAGACUCCUACGGGAGGCAGCAGUGGGGAAUUUUGGACAAUGGGCGAAAGCCUGAUCCAGCAAUGCCGCGUGUGUGAAGAAGGCCUUCGGGUUGUAAAGCACUUUUGUCCGGAAAGAAAUCCUUGGCUCUAAUACAGUCGGGGGAUGACGGUACCGGAAGAAUAAGCACCGGCUAACUACGUG
rnacentral:rRNA from 1 species